UCUUUACUGUCUAGUAAAGAGUUUUCCUGCAGUGUAAGAGACCCAGGUUCGACUCCUGGGUCAGGAA
rnacentral:tRNA from 1 species